rnacentral:rRNA from 1 species
CAAUAGCGUAUAUUAAAGUUGUUGCAGUUAAAAAGCUCGUAGUUGGAUUUCUGGUAGGAGUGACCGUUCCGAACUUGAUUGUUCGCGUAUUGUGUUUUCUCCAGCCAUCCUUGUGGAGAACUUUUCUUGCAUUAAUUUGUAGGGAUUGGGACCCGCAUCGUUUACUGUGAAAAAAUUAGAGUGUUUAGAGCAGGCAAUCGCUUGAAUACAUUAGCAUGGAAUAAUAAGAUAGGACUUUGGUACUAUUUUGUUGGUUUGCAUACCAAAUUAAUGAUCAACAGGAACAGUUUGAGGAUAUUCGUAUGAACAUGUCAGAGGUGAAAUUCUUGGAUUUUGAUCAGACGAACUACUGCGAAAGCAUUUAUCAAGGAUGUUUUCAUUAA